AUUGAACGCUGGCGGCAGGCCUAACACAUGCAAGUCGAGCGGAUGAGUGGAGCUUGCUCCAUGAUUCAGCGGCGGACGGGUGAGUAAUGCCUAGGAAUCUGCCUGGUAGUGGGGGACAACGUUUCGAAAGGAACGCUAAUACCGCAUACGUCCUACGGGAGAAAGUGGGGGAUCUUCGGACCUCACGCUAUCAGAUGAGCCUAGGUCGGAUUAGCUAGUUGGUGAGGUAAAGGCUCACCAAGGCGACGAUCCGUAACUGGUCUGAGAGGAUGAUCAGUCACACUGGAACUGAGACACGGUCCAGACUCCUACGGGAGGCAGCAGUGGGGAAUAUUGGACAAUGGGCGAAAGCCUGAUCCAGCCAUGCCGCGUGUGUGAAGAAGGUCUUCGGAUUGUAAAGCACUUUAAGUUGGGAGGAAGGGCAGUAAGUUAAUACCUUGCUGUUUUGACGUUACCAACAGAAUAAGCACCGGCUAACUUCGUGCCAGCAGCCGCGGUAAUAC
rnacentral:rRNA from 1 species